AGCACUCGGAGGACUCCCGGUGAAGAGCCUGCAGCAGGGAAGAUGAGCUUGUCAGGAGAGGCUUAGCUUCAUUGUCACAGAAAGGGACCGGCCAGGGACCUGCGUGCUGGGGCGCCGGGCUGGGGAGACAGCACUGGAGCUGUGUGGGUCCUGCUCUCAGGAGCUCUGGUAGCUGGGAGAGCUCUAGGGAACGCAGAGUCUUGCUGCUUGGAGCCACUUGGAGUUAGCAACAGCAUGUUUGCCAUUGCCAUGUGAUAAAGGACCCGGGACUGAGCAAACUCUCAGGCCAUUACGCUGUUUGGUGAAUGCAAAUGAAAAGCUUAAAGUGUGUAGGAGCUGCAGCGGCCAUGGGCACCUGACAGGCACUUACUCUGUGGAACACGUGGGAACAAGACAGCAGCACCUGUCCGUGGGAAACAGAGACGGCUGAAGGCGGAUGAGAGAGACCAGAGUCAGCACAUUAAUUACAAGAAAAAUUCGGAAUGCUUACAAGGCAGGCUGGGUUAUCGUUUGGAAAGUUAAAAGCAAUGCAGAACUUUGAUACUCGAGCUGCUUGGUGUUUACGUUCUGCAGAGUACAAGUACAUAGUCUCAACAGGAAUCCCUGACGGCCUGACACGCCACACAGACACACGAGGACAGGACGGAGCCAUCAAAACAAGCGCAUGUGGAACAGCCACGCCAUUACAGGAGCACAGUAUUUCCAGGAGGUUCUGGGAGUCACCCCUGGAGGGGUGGGCGCUUGGGUGCGGCUGCUGGGAGGAGGCGCACACAGAUGCCGAGAAAGCACCUUUCUUUAGGGCCUUAUUCAGCUAAAUCACCCACCUAAGUCUCUAUUCUUGAAAAAUUUGCUGUAGGGCUUAUGUGCUCACUGGAGAGGGGUGGGGAGGUGAGAAAGCACCCUUCGGGGGA